UCCAUCUCAAAAAAAUAAAAAAUAAAUAAAUAAAACCAUUUAGAAGAAGAAAAGCAGUGUGAAUGGGAAAAAACAAAGUUACUUAAGUAGUUUCAGUGAUUCAUUCUUUUUUAGUCUUCCUAUAGUUCCUGAACAAGAAUACCUGGAUGAAAAAGAAGCAGUUAUGCUUGCUUAGAACUUUAAAAUAAAUCAGAUUAUACAUGAUGAUGAAAUCGCCAAAUCAGUAUCUUACCUUACAGGAAGUGUUUCUCAUGUUUCUGAAGAGGAUCCUGAUAAUAAAUAUGACAGGACACUUGAUGAGGAUGAGGAGGAUACAUUUGCAAAAAUUACUAAAAAUAUGAAGAAUAUCUGACUAGAAUUGUGUGAACUGUAAGCUAUAAUGUGUAACCUUGGUUAUUAUAACAACUUAAAGCCAACAGCAUUUAUAGUCUUACUGUACAUAAUUUUCUUGGUGGAGAUAGUUUUAGAGAAUAUGCCAAGGAAGUUUUGAAGUAUUAAUUAAUUAUCCUUAGCUUGUAUUAGUAUCAGUUUCUGCAAGAUGUGGAGAAUGAAGUAAAUUCCAUAAAGCAGAUUAAUUUGUUCUGACAUAUUUACUUUGUGUGAACUCCUUUUGACAAGUACUUCUCGAACUGCAACUCCAAACAUUAUUUGAACUAUUAGCAGAUAUAUAUUUACAUAUAUAUUUUGUUUUGGCUCAGUUGAAAGUUUAUUCUGCUAGAGCUAGAGGUAUUUUCUUUAUUCUGCUGAAGCAAUGCAGUGACUUAUUAAACUAUAAGGUAGUUUGCUUUUUAAAUGUUUUAAAUCAAUUACUAGUCCACAUUUAGGAAUUUCUAUUAUAGUGACAAUUAAUGUUAAUUACUGCUUUAUUAUGAUUUUCUUAAUGACAGUAAUCUAUAAUUAAACUCUCAUAGUGAGAUAUUUACCAUUAUAGUAUUAAUAUAAUGUUCUUAAAUGUUUGCAUAAUGGUAGGUAAGAUGAAUAAGCACAUUUUCUUUGGGGCAGAGCCCAUGUUAUAUUUCAUUGAAAUGUUCAAAAGUACUAUUCGGCAAGCUUUGUUCACGUUCUUUUGUUACUUGGAAGUGUCAAAAAUAAAAAAGGAACAGAAGAAAUAUUUCUGUGAGAGAAGAUACAUUAUAGUAGUUAAAUAGAGAACUUUUAGCUUGGCAAACUAGGGAUUUUUUAAUAGCAUGUAUAAUUAAAAUUUGAGAGAUUUUUUUUUUUUUACACUGCUGUUCCACAAACAUUUUGCUUGAGUAGAUAUAACAUUUUGCUUUCUUUUGGAAACCCAAAUAAGAGGGAUAUGAUCAAAAAAUAAGAAAGUGGUAAGAACACACAAACUGAAUAAACAGCUGAACAUACUAAUAAGAGAAAAUGUGUUUGUUGAUUUCAGAAAGGAAUUAAUAUGAAAUAAGAGAAAGUUAACAUAGUCUGUCUCUUUAUCAUCAUUUAGAGACUGUACUUUCUGACAGGAAGUUGCUGCUAGGACAAUAUUAGAGAUUAUUGUUUUCAUAAAGACAGUUCAAAGAUGAAUUAGUAAUAUGUCAAUAAUAAAUGAGUAAUUUAUUAGUAACCGAUCUUGUUAUGAAUGAGAGUGGGGAACUAUUAGAUUAAAGCCAGAAAACUGUAUGAUUGAAUUCAGAAUGGAUAGAGAAGUUUGCAUAAAGGCCUGAGAUCCAAUAAUAUUUGAAUCCUACAUUGUUUUCAGGAACAAUAUACAAAGGGGACAUUAGCAUAAUGGAAAUGAAAGUAUCAGUAGUGCCCUAUAUGCCAAUGUUUAGCUCUGUUUUAAAAAGGGUGAAAAAGCUAAAUUGAAAACACUGGUUUGAGGACUAAAAGCAUCUUCCUCUUAGUUCUAAACUACUGCAUCUUGCCCCUCUUGCUAGAUAUAUGGAGGAAAGAACCGGAAGGGAGUUUGCUUGGAGUGGGUGGGGAAAGAAACACAAAGGUAGAAUCUGUAUCAGCCCUUGAUUAGUUUGUCCGCCCAUUUCAUCCUUGGAGAUGAUGGAGUGGGAAAGUGUUGUCUGUACAUUAGGUUCCUAUGACUGCUGUAAAAAUUUACCCCCAAUUUAGUGACAAAUUUACCACCAACUUAUCUUACAGUUUGGAGGUCAGAAGUGCAAAAUGGAUCUCACUAGACUAAAAUCAAGAGGUCAACAAGGCUGCAUUCCUUUCCUUUCUUUUCUUUUUUUGUAAAAUAUUUAAAGAGGUUUAUUCUGAGCCAACUAUGAGUGAUCAAGGCCUGAGGUACAGUCACAAGAGGCCCUGAGAACAUGUUCUCAAAGUGGUUAGGUUACAGUUUGAUAUACAUUUUAGGGGGACAGAAGUUACAGGCAGACAUUAAUCAAAAAUGUUAGGUGUGUAUUGGUUUAGUCCAGAAAGGUGGGACAACUUGAAGGCGAGAUGCUUCCAGACCAUAGGUGGACUCAUAAAGAGUUUCUGAUUGGAAAUCAGUUGAAAGAGUUACUAUCUUAAGACCUGGAAUCGAUAGAAAGGAGUGUCUCAGUUAAGUGUUUGUGGAGACCAAGCUUCUUUUUCUUUUUUUUUCCAAUAGCUCUUGGGGCACAAGUGUUUUUUGGUUACGUGGAUAAAUUGUAUAGUGGUGAAGUGUAAGAUUUGAGGCUGUAGGGAAAAAUCUGGUUUUUUUGCUUUUUUUUUCAGCUUUUAGAGGCUGCAGAUACUACUUCCAUCUUCAAAGCCAGCAAUGGCUAGUCAUGUCCUGAUUCUUCUGCCUCUCUCUUUCCCCUUGAAGGACCCUUGUGUUUACAUUGUGACUACCUGGAUAAUACAGUUUCUCACUGAUCGUAGAUUGUCUUAUUUACCUUUAACUGAGUGCCAGAUGGACAGGCACAAUCUUCACCCUAGAGAUACAGCUGCUGAGGAUCACGGGGAUGAAAAGCGUGAAUCAGGCUCACACAGCUAAUAUCUCUGGACAUGUCUAGGAUGGCUGAUAAGUUGGGUUCCAAAGAUCCCUCCAGGUAGUGGUUCCUACUGCUGCUAAGUACCAGCUGCAGGCCAUUGUACCAUUCUUCUGAAGUGCUACAGAUUUUAAUCAACCUGUGGAAAGGAUGAUUUAUCGUAUACUCUAAGAAAACAGCCUAGUGACCACUCACCAUCCACAUUUCAUUUGAACUGAGCUGCUCCUUCCUCUUUUUCAUCUACAAUUGGGAGAACUUCAAUAAACUCCAGGCAUCUGAAUUCAUCCUACUGUAUGCUGAAGCUAGUGGUGGAAGAGCAGACCGGGGAGAAGACCAGAGUUGGUAAAGCCAUGGAGGUGGAAAAGAAAACACAAGAUUUUGAAGGAGCUUAUUAUGGAUUCAUCAUGGAUGGCACUUCCAGAUAUCUUUUAAGGCCUGGAAGGGGCAAAACAAUUCAGGAAGCAGUUGAAGAUAAAGAGGUUUACAACGGAAGAGAAGAUCCAGGUGCCUUCAGAGAAAUGCUUGUGGUUAAAAAGAGAUGAAGAUGAGUAUCCCUGGAAAGAGGAAGAGCCAGCCAGGAAAAUUAUACCAUCAGCAAGACUGGCAUCAGCAAGUAGUUCACAGUGUUGAUUGUUCUUGGUUUCGUAGGAUUUUAUAGGAGGUAUGGCACUUAUUUAAAUGGAUUUGUUUCUUUGCUACUCCUAUUCCAUGUUGGCUAGACAGCUUUCCUUGGGGUCUCUCAUCUAUUUCAGUGCCAUUCCAUUCAUCACUCACAAAUCAUUAAUUUGCCUGUGUUGUGUUACCUCCUGAGAUUUUCUGUUUCUGAGUCAAUAGAGUUGAGAGCUAAUGUACAUUUCACAAAUAUUGCUGGGAAAAGGGCUUGGAGCAAGAAUUGAAGAGACUUUCUAUUUUAGUAUUGUAUGUACCAUAAUAACUCAUUCCUUUUAUAUGAGUGUGGAAGAAGGGAACUGCCAGAUUAGAGGCAAGUGCAUCAAAAUCAUUCCUCCAUGUAUUCAGUCAGACAGAGUUAUGUUCAGCUGAACUUAAAUCAUAAGCAGUUAUUGAGCACCAAUAAUAUCCUUAGCAUUGGGCUUGGCUAAGAUAAUGGAAGGAACAUGAAACAUGGUUUUUCUCUCAAAAUAGUCACAAUUAGUUGGAGAGACCAAAAACAACCAUAUAAACAGAUAAAUAAAGAUCAAAAGUAAAUAAUAUUAAUUGUUAAUAAAAGAAAAGGUAUUACAAAGCAGAACUUAAUGAACAAAUAAAUUAUACAGAUAGGAACUGCCAUAGACUUUGAAAGGAAAUGGGGAUAUUUCAGGCUAUAAUAAAUAGUGAAGAUUUUAAGGUAAAGUUUAGUGUUAGAUCUUAGUGUCUUGAGUAUAUAGCUUAAAGUAUAGGCAGGAUUUGAACAUAUGAACAGAAUUAGGAAGGAGCUAUGCAAGGUGGCUUUUUGAGAAAGAUCUGAACAAACACAUUAGGGUGAGAAAUAGCACUGUACAUUUGCAGUAGAGGACAUACGAGUGGAAGCAUUAGGAGUUGGAGUCAGAUGAUGGAGGCUACGGGAGAGAAGCCUGAGGGUUUUGGUUUACUCUAUAAGCAGUCUUUGUUCAGGACAAGGGAAAUAGAACUCUGAUACAGAAAGACAUUGUGAGUAUCAAUAAGGAAUGAAUAGAGCUUGAAAGCAAGAAGACCAUAAGAUUGAUGAGAAUAGAGCAAAGUCCGAGGGAAUAGGCCUGAACAGAUGCAGUACAGUGGGAAAAGGUGAAAGAAACCCUGGGAAGAGGAGGACUGACUCACUCACAAAUGCCUAUCCUCUUUCUGCUUCCUACACAUUAUUCUCAGAGCCAUUGUACUAGUUGAUCUCUCGAUCUGCCAUAAUC